rnacentral:misc_RNA from 1 species
UUUGUCUUAGUAGUCUGGCACCGCCUCGCUUCCCCUCUCUGCCCUUUUAAGUGGUACUUGAGCAUAUUAGCUUCCACAGCAAUAUACACGCAUACGCUCACACGUCGUAUAGAAGGUCAACUCCUUCAGCCAUGAAGUACCAAAUCGCAAGUGUCGUGGCCGCUGCCGCGCUGUUCGGCGGCGCCGCUGCUGUGUCGUGCAGCGACAAGUACCCGCAGUCGUCCGCGUUCUUCGGCUCGAUGGGUUGCGCGUCCGCGCUGAUAUUUGCCAACCUGGGCUCUGCCUACGGCACGGCGAAGUCUGGCGUCGGCGUUGCGCACCUGGGCAUCCUGCACGCCGAACGCAUCAUGCGUGGCAUCGUUCCGGUAGUCAUGGCUGGCAUCCUUGGUAUCUACGGGCUGAUCGUGUCCGUGAUCAUCAACAACAACAUCAAGGCGGACGACAACUCGUACUCCGCGUUUGCGGGCUACUUGCACUUUGGCGCUGGUCUGGCCGCCGGCCUGUCGUCUCUUGCGGCCGGCCUGUCGAUCGGGAUUGCGGGCGAUGCGUCUGUGCGCGCGUACGGCAAGCAGGAGAAGAUCUUUGUCGCCAUGAUUCUGAUGCUGAUUUUUGCGGAGGCUCUGGGCCUGUACGGCCUGAUCAUCGCGCUUCUGAUGAACAACACGGCUGGCAAGGUGGCUGCUGGUUGUCAGUAAGCGUAGCAGCUGGUAUGUGUAUGAGUCCGCUCAACGGAGACCAGUUUAGUGCAGGUUGUCUACCGAGAGCUCCCUCUGCGUAUAAUGCAAUCAGGAAGUGUCCAUGAAGGCAUGCUUUGAUACCAGCGGUUCUGCACAUGCAAACGCACACACACACACACACACACACACACACACACACACACAGACACACACACACACAGACACACACACACACAUACACACGGACACGGACACAGAGACAUACUUGCGGACGCCAGCUCAUUCGUUGACGAGUCCUUCUGCCUUUUCUGAUGCCCCCUUUUCCGUGCGUGUCUGGUUGCUUCUCGAACAAGAAAGGGGGAAAUUGCGUGUGUGUCUUUAUUAUUGCCUUCCCCAUCCAGUUCUGUUGCCACUGGAGAUGGUGAGGGGCGCGCUGCCGUGUGUCGGCAUGCCCACCCUGCCUCUGUUGUUGAUGGCUUUUGGUUUUCGGCGCUGGUAGUAAAGGUGGUGUGGCUGGCACUUCAUUCUUCCUAAAAGGCGGGCGAGGAAAAGCGGAGAGGGGAAAGUGCAGAAUGAGACGAGGAGCCAGCACAACGUGCCUUGUGGUCGGCUCGUUGUCGCUUUGUCGCCUCGUCUGAGGUGCAGCCGAGGGUGCGCGCGUCUAUAUGCGCGUGCGAUCUUUUGUGAGCUCGUGUGCCAUUGAACACACACCGCAGACGGGGCGACGUGGAGCCAUUGCGUGUGUACGCGCACGUGACGGGCGCGUUUCUCAGCCCUCGCUAGAAGAAAGAAACAUGACGCGCGCUGAAUGAAGGCGGUGCGGUGUGCAGUUGCCGAACAUGUUAUUUUU